UACGUAGGGGGCUAGCGUUGUCCGGAAUCAUUGGGCGUAAAGAGCGCGUAGGCGGCCAGAUAAGUCCGGUGUGAAAGUCAAAGGCUCAACCUUUGAAUGCCGCUGGAAACUGUCUGGCUAGAGUCCGGGAGGGGCGAGUGGAAUUCCUGGUGUAGCGGUGAAAUGCGCAGAUAUCAGGAGGAACACCGGUGGCGAAGGCGGGUCUCUGGGCAGUAACUGACGCUGAGGUGCGAAAGCGUGGGGAGCAAACAGG
rnacentral:rRNA from 1 species